AAAAAUUAAUGAUAUUUUUUUUAAAAAAAAAAAUCAAAUUUCGACCGCAUGAGGUCGAAAAAAUUAAUUCAAAUCUGAUUUAAUUUUUUCGACCACAUGCAGUCGAAACAGUUCAAUAAAUAAUACACCCACACAGGCCGUUGAAAAUAUUUCAUCUCCCCCCAAAACUUUCUCUUCUCUUUCAAAAAAAUUUACCCUCUCUAAACUCAUCUUCCCGAAAAUUCCCACCACCCCCACCAACAUCUCCCCCCAAAACUGUUUGAUGUUCCUAAAGUGAAACUAUGUGCGCCUAUUUCUGAGUAUGUUUUAGGUGGGUUUGUUGAUUAGCUUGCUAGUGGCUUGUUGAAGGUGGGUUUGUUGAUUAGCUUGUUAAGCAGUCCUUGUUAGCACCGGCGUUCUCCAAAUAGGCGAUGCCGUCCAGUUAAACCACCGGAGUAGUCACCAGCCGCCGCCGACUGAACAGUGAGCUAGGUUGUCAAUUGCCGGAGUUAAGGAAGAUUUGCUAGAUACAAGAAAGUAGCAGCAGAGCUUACUCAACUCGGGGCCCUCUCAUAUUCCCCCGUGUCCCGGGGAUGCUCGUAGGUCACAGCCCAGUAGACGACGUAGGUCACAAGACAACGUAGUUCAUGCUCUUGUUGAUGAGGACAGUGGGGAGGAAUUGGAUCAUGUCUCUAACACCUAACGUUGACUUUUUUGAUUCGUAUACUUUUGGAUUGUAAUAUUGCUAUGUUUUCUUGGAUAUGUAUAUUUUUUUAUGAUAAUUUUAAUUCGAAUUAGAUGUACUUUUGAAGGUGAAUUGAUUGUAGGAAGUAGUUUAUGAAUAUUUUAACUUUACGAUGUUUAAGUGUUUGAAUGUAGAAAGUAGUUUAUGGUUGUUUAACUUUACGAUGUUCAAGUGUUUGAAUGUAGUUUUAAGGAUAUUUAGAAGUACUUUAAAUUGAAACUUGAGGUUGAAUUUGAUUUUAGAAUGUGAAGUUUAUGAUUGUAGAA